GGUGAACGCUGGCGGUAGGCCUAACACAUGCAAGUCGAACGGCAGCACAGUAAGAGCUUGCUCUUACGGGUGGCGAGUGGCGGACGGGUGAGGAAUACAUCGGAAUCUACUUUUUCGUGGGGGAUAACGUAGGGAAACUUACGCUAAUACCGCAUACGACCUACGGGUGAAAGCAGGGGAUCUUCGGACCUUGCGCGAUUGAAUGAGCCGAUGUCGGAUUAGCUAGUUGGCGGGGUAAAGGCCCACCAAGGCGACAAUCCGUAGCUGGUCUGAGAGGAUGAUCAGCCACACUGGAACUGAGACACGGUCCAGACUCCUACGGGAGGCAGCAGUGGGGAAUAUUGGACAAUGGGCGCAAGCCUGAUCCAGCCAUACCGCGUGGGUGAAGAAGGCCUUCGGGUUGUAAAGCCCUUUUGUUGGGAAAGAAAAGCAGCAGGUUAAUACCCCGCUGUUCUGACGGUACCCAAAGAAUAAGCACCGGCUAACUUCGUG
rnacentral:rRNA from 1 species